rnacentral:rRNA from 1 species
UACGGAGGGUGCGAGCGUUGUCCGGAAUCACUGGGCGUAAAGGGCGCGUAGGCGGCCGAGCAAGGUCGCGGUGAAAGCCCGGGGCUCAACCCCGGGUCGGCCGUGGCAACUACUCGGCUCGAGCACUGUAGGGGCGGGUGGAAUUCCGGGUGUAGCGGUGGAAUGCGCAGAUAUCAGGAGGAACACCAAUAGCGAAGGCAGCUCGCUGGGACGUUACUGACACUGAGGCGCGAAAGCGUGGGGAGCGAACAGG